GACGAACGCUGGCGGCGUGCUUAACACAUGCAAGUCGAACGGAAAGGCCCUGCUUUUGUGGGGUGCUCGAGUGGCGAACGGGUGAGUAACACGUGAGUAACCUGCCCUUGACUUUGGGAUAACUACAGGAAACUGGGGCUAAUAUCGGAUAGGAGCUCCUGCUGCAUGGUGGGGGUUGGAAAGUUUCGGCGGUUGGGGAUGGACUCGCGGCUUAUCAGCUUGUUGGUGGGGUAGUGGCUUACCAAGGCUUUGACGGGUAGCCGGCCUGAGAGGGUGACCGGCCACAUUGGGACUGAGAUACGGCCCAGACUCCUACGGGAGGCAGCAGUGGGGAAUAUUGCACAAUGGGCGGAAGCCUGAUGCAGCAACGCCGCGUGCGGGAUGACGGCCUUCGGGUUGUAAACCGCUUUCGCCUGUGACGAAGCGUGAGUGACGGUAAUGGGUAAAGAAGCACCGGCUAACUACGUG
rnacentral:rRNA from 1 species